rnacentral:rRNA from 1 species
GACGAACGCUGGCGGCGUGCCUAAUACAUGCAAGUAGAACGCACAGGAUACACCGUAGUUUACUACACCGUAUUCUGUGAGUUGCGAACGGGUGAGUAACGCGUAGGUAACCUGCCUGGUAGCGGGGGAUAACUAUUGAAAACGAUAGCUAAUACCGCAUAAGAACAUUUACUGCAUGGUAGAUGUUUAAAAGGUGCAAAUGCAUCACUACCAGAUGGACCUGCGUUGUAUUAGCUAGUAGGUGAGGUAACGGCUCACCUAGGCGACGAUACAUAGCCGACCUGAGAGGGCGAUCGGCCACACUGGGACUGAGACACGGCCCAGACUCCUACGGGAGGCAGCAGUAGGGAAUCUUCGGCAAUGGGGGGAACCCUGACCGAGCAACGCCGCGUGAGUGAAGAAGGUUUUCGGAUCGUAAAGCUCUGUUGUUAAGGAAGAAACGAGUGUGAGAAAUGGAAAAGUUUCAUACUGUG